GGGAUUCUAGGCGUAGAUGGAAUUCCACCAAUGCUCGUCGGUGGCAAGCGUACAUUGAAGCUUCCUCCCGAUCUUGGUUAUGGGGCGAGAGGAGCAGGCUGCAGAGGAGGCUCUUGCAUUAUUCCUCCGGAUUCAACUCUUCUGUUCGAUAUAGAAUUCAUUGGGUAGGCAGGAGCCAGAGACCUACAGAGUCUUUUUCUGACGAAAGGAACCAACAGACGAGAUACUUGUAUAAGCACUUACUUAAACAAGAGGGAACC